GGGGGUUUCUCACUAUCACUCUUACACUCUCUUUUCUCACUAUAUUUCUAAUGGUAUGACUUGAAGAAUACAAUACUUUCUUAUUAUUUUUCAGUCUGCCUUCUUUGGUAACUCCUCUAUUUAUAGAGGUCUUCAGCCUUGAGGCUCCAUAAUUGUUGCUUUGGAUGCUCUUCAUAAUAGAGUUUUGAUAAUGGAGUGAGAGGCUCCAUGUCUUUUGCAGAAGUUGUCUGUCACGCUUCAACAGUGAGGAAUCUUUUAAAAAUAAAGGAGCAGGGAGGGUCUUUUGUCUUCUUUCUUUUUCUUUUUAAAAUGACUUUUUUUUUUAUAUUGGGCAUUUGGC
rnacentral:lncRNA from 1 species